UUAACUAUUUUAUAGUACUCAGACGACACUAACUUCAGAGUUUAGGGUCCUCUGGCGGGCGCUUACCAGCGAAGAGCCGGUAGCCUGACCGAGGCCGGACGGCCCGCCAAAGCAACACAGGUAAUGAUAACAUAGGGUGGGAGAUCUACCCGUAAGGGCAUGAACUCGAUAAUGAUCCCUCCGCAGGUUCACCUACGGAGA
rnacentral:misc_RNA from 1 species